CCAUAGAGACUGCAAACUCAGCCCAGAGAGGUGGCUUCCUCUCUAUGGUAACGCCCGGUGCACGGGCCGCGCCGGACUCCUUUGCCCCGCUAGGGGGAUGUUGAUUUACCCUAAUAGCGACCCGUAGCAUAAAGGUGCUUUAAUGAAAAAGGUGACCAAAGAGUAUUUAGGCCCCUUGGGGAGUGGAAGCAAAACUCGAACAAAACAAGGGAAAGGCUAUGUGAUAAAAGAACUAGAAAGGAGUCAGGAGAGUGUGGACAAGUUUUCCAGGCGGAACUUCCUUUGAUCGUCGGCGUUUCUGAUAGUGAAGCAAACAGUCUUUCACUUCUGGGUUAUGGGUACCCGCUAUUCAUGGGACGAUUGCGGUGAAGGAAAUUGACCCCCACGAUUUCCCGUAGCUGGCGUGCGUUCCAGAUCUCUUUUCUGAGCAUGCGGACAAACGCCGCUACCGGAAGCACAGCUUUUAAACCGUUGUACGCGCUUUGGCGAACCAAGCCGCAAGUUGGAGGCUUUGGCUGUACCGGCGAGCUAGUAUCAGUUUCUCUCCUAAGUUUCUUCGCAGCAGUGCUGCCUCGCCCUCCCGCGUGGUCCUCAAGGUGUAGGUGAAGUGGUUUGGGUUAUGCAAAUUACAGCGUUGCCUUCGAGGAGCUCAAGGACGCCCAGUUUUGCCGCCCUACGCCCGUGUGCUCCCCAACAAUUUGGCUUUGAAAGCUUUUGUAUUGAAGUUGUACACUGGUGAAAAUCACUGUUAAAGUGUCGAUUGGCUUCCUCCAUCGCGAUUGGGUGUUUACGGGAACUCUUCUGGGCAGGAAUGUAUUGAUGUCCUGCAGGACGGGACAACUGGUGCCCAACGUGUGGCCGGAUAGAGUUGGGGAUCUGGGAACUUCAGUGCUCAUUAGAGGGACAGGCCCGUCCAUGCAGUGAGGCGUCCACAACAAGGUCGAUCGUGAGCCUCAGUUGGAGGAAGACCCAGCAGCCUGCCCAGCGCUUGGGACUUUCGGUUCAUGAGCAUCACCUAUGUGGAAAAGACCCCAAACUCCUCUUCAGAUGUGCAUGAUGCAGAGGUGCACGUGCCACAGCCUUCCCCAUAAGAAGUCAGAAGACCACUCUGGAGCCCGUGCUCAUGCCAUCUUCAUCCGGGUUACAAGGAUUUCACUUAGGUGGCCAGAUUUGCAUGGUGAGCAUCUUUACCCACUGAACCAUCCAUCAUACCAGCCCUGGAUUUUGAUUUUUAUCAAUUCCCCAAAUUUUCCUUUUUUUCCAUUAGUCAUGUAAUCGGAUCACUUCUC